rnacentral:rRNA from 1 species
CUCGAUGUCGGCUCAUCGCAUCCUGGGGCUGAAGAAGGUCCCAAGGGUUUGGCUGUUCGCCAAUUAAAGCGGUACGCGAGCUGGGUUCAGAACGUCGUGAGACAGUUCGGUCUCCUAUCUGCCGUGGGCGUUGAAAUUUGAGAAGGCUCUUCCCUAGUACGAGAGGACCGGAAAGAACGAACCUCUAGUCAACGAGCUGUCCUGUCUGGGGCAAAAGCUCGGUAGCUACGUUCGGUUUGGAUAAGCGCUGAAAGCAUCUAAGCGCGAAGCCGUCUUCAAGAUUAGAUCUCAUUAUGAGCUUCCUGGGAGACUACCAGGUUGAUAGGCUCUACGUGUAAGUCCGGUAACGGAUUCAGCGGAGGAGUACUAAUCAAGCCACAUUGCAAUCAC